rnacentral:rRNA from 1 species
UACGUAGGGGGCUAGCGUUGUUCGGAAUUAUUGGGCGUAAAGGGCGCGUAGGCGGUGCGGUAAGUCUGUAGUGAAAUCUCUGGGCUCAACUCAGAGUCUGCUAUAGGAACUGCCGUGCUUGAGUGUGGGAGAGGUGAGUGGAAUUCCCGGUGUAGUGGUGGAAUGCGUAGAGAUCCGGAAGAACACCGGUGGCGAAGGCGGCCUGCUGGGCUACUGCUGACACUGAGGCGCGACAGCGUGGGGAGCAAACAGG